ACUCCCAAUUGUCACAAAUGUUUUCGGUUAAACUGCUCAUGUUUCUAAUUAACUUUUGUCAUCCAUAACUGCUCUACUGCCCAGGAGCCUGCUGGGGAUUAACGGCAUUUUUCUCUUUUUUUUUUUUUUUUCAAACCUAUGUUUCUCUGCCCUCUAGCAACCAAGUACACCGUACAUAGAGCUGCUUUUUAGAAUUUAAAAAUAAACGGCUGUUGAGGGCUUGGGCUUUUUCAGAGGCAAGAGCAGUCUGGGCAUGGACUACAGCAACAUAGACGGCAGAUUGUUUUCAGGAUGCCUUCCUGUUACCCAGGGAAGAGAGAUGGAAGAACAGAAAAAGAAGACAUGAGGAAGACCCUAAAGAGGAAG